UUUUCUCACCAAAGAAUACGUAUGUAGACAUGCACACUCAUUUAAUCUGCAGCUACGAAGUACUUUGUCACUCCUCUGGAACAUUAUUCUAAGCAGAAUUAUUCAGAUUCAUAUAUUCUAAGAAACUUGUGUGAAUUGUUUACGAGGAAAUUCCAACUGUCACAUUAACAAGGAUGAGCACUCUUGACUCUGCUUGGGAUUUCCUAGUGAUAAUUGCAUCGAGUGAUGAAAGAGCUGACGGCGACAUUUUAAUGUGUGAUUGGCUUGGACCAUUGGAAUGAAGUCAUUUCAUGGUGCCACCACUUGGGAUGGUAUUAGCUGCAAAUAUAGACUUGUACUUAGCACUUAUUGCCUUUAAGAAGUAUGAGAUCCAUUUUGUGCUAACACCUACCAUGACACAGAAUCUUGGUUUAUGCAGUCUCAUAGGAGUAACCUGUCUAAAGCAUUUAGCAAUGGGAUUGGAGCCUGAGACGUGUGACUCAUCUGAAUACUGAAUUUUGAUACCAAGCAUGACCGUGAUUUGCCAGAAGAUCAUCUGUUUGGAUGUGACAUGGAAUAAACAGCAUAGUGAAAAUAAGUCAAGUUUUGGUUUGUGACGACAACUUUUAAACACACUGUGUAUCAUUUUUAAAUUUUGAUUUCACAACAUAAAUCCACAAAUAUGAGCAUAUCAAUUGCUCUCGGUUUUUCAAGUGAAGUA